GGGCGUGUAGCUCAGUUGGUAGAGCGUUCGCUUCGCAUACUUCAUUGUACUGCGAAAGGUCUUGGGUUCGAUUCCCAACUCGUCCA